GGGGUUGUUCUGGAUUCGACAGGCAUAGGUUGAGCUUGAAUUACGUUUUGCAGCCGCGACUGCAUCAUCAACGCACAGUUUAAAUUUAACUGACAAAACAAAUUAUGAUUUUGCUUUAGCAGCGUAAUAGCUGCCUAAAGGCGAUCCGAACUAGCAUCGCCCAUGUGACUAGCUAGGGUCUCAAAUUAGAAGUGGGAUACGCUUAAAACUUCCGUCUGUAGUUUUAAGAAGAAGAUCAUCAGACUAGCGAAGCAGUUUCGCCUGUUAUAUGGCGAGUGCGUAGCGAAAAACCUAUAAAUAUUAUAACUAUGAACGUAAACGUUGAAGUGACAAUAUGUCUGGACAGGGGUUCGACUCCCCUCAUCUCCAUAC
rnacentral:tmRNA from 4 species